rnacentral:snRNA from 1 species
GCCCUCCGCUGUCAGAAGGACAACCAGACGGUUGAGAACACAGACACAGAAAAGAUCAGUACGGCCCGUGCAAGGACGACACGCCAAUCUGUGAAGCGUUCCACAGUUUU